rnacentral:rRNA from 1 species
GGAUUAGAUACCCUGGUAGUCCACGCCCUAAACGAUGUGUGCUAGACGUCGGGAGGCUUGCCUCUCGGUGUCGUAGCUAACGUGUUAAGCACACCGCCUGGGGAGUACGGCCGCAAGGUUAAAACUCAAAGGAAUUGACGGGGGCCCGCACAAGCGGUGGAGCAUGUGGUUUAAUUCGACGCAACGCGCAGAACCUUACCAGCCCUUGACAUGAUGGUUACGAUUUCCAGAGAUGGAUCUCUCAGUUCGGCUGGACCAUCACAGGUGCUGCAUGGCUGUCGUCAGCUCGUGCCG